rnacentral:rRNA from 1 species
AUGGCGGCGCCAAGGCCACCGCAUCCACAUGGGACGAAACUAGCGGAGAUGAAGAAGGCGGCGGUCAUUGGGGGGAGAAAGGUUGCCGGGAAGCAGGAGGACGUGCACCAGCUGCGGCUGCUGGACAACCGCUACGUUCAGUACAGGUUUCUGAACGCCCGGGGGGCAGAGGCGGCCAGGGCCAAGGCUGCUGCGGCGGAGAACUCCCUGUUCGGACUGGCUGAGAGAAUUGCUGGGCUACGAGAAUCAGUCGCUGAUAAGAGGGCAGAGGCUGAGAAGAUCAAGAGGGAUCAGAGAUUGUGCUCAAUUUUUGGUGGUCAGGUGCCGUAUUUGGAUCGAUGGAGUGAUGUUGAGGAGGAUUAUUCCAGCUGCUUGACAGGGGCAACAUCUGCGCUGCAUAACGCCUCACUAAGGCUGCCUAUAAUUGGGGGUGUUAGGGCAAACUAUGAGGAAAUCUCGGAAGUUCUUAACUCUGCUGCGCAACUACUGGAGCCGGCGUCGCCUCUUGUUCGAAAUUUAUUACCAAAGGUUGAAGAAGUUGAUGGUGUGGCCUCCAAACUUGCACAAAUAAUCACUAGUGAAAGGGACUUGAUAGAAGAGUGUGGGAAUCUACUAAAUCAAGCACACCAUAUGCAGAUGAGGGAGUACAGCUUGAGAAGCCAGCUGCUGCAGUUGAGAAGUUGA